rnacentral:rRNA from 1 species
GACGAACGCUGGCGGCGUGCUUAACACAUGCAAGUCGAACGGAAAGGCCCUGCUUUUGUGGGGUGCUCGAGUGGCGAACGGGUGAGUAACACGUGAGUAACCUGCCCUUGACUUUGGGAUAACUUCAGGAAACUGGGGCUAAUACCGGAUAGGAGCUCCUGCUGCAUGGUGGGGGUUGGAAAGUUUCGGCGGUUGGGGAUGGACUCGCGGCUUAUCAGCUUGUUGGUGGGGUAGUGGCUUACCAAGGCCUUGACGGGUAGCCGGCCUGAGAGGGUGGCCGGCCACAUGAGGACUGAGGUACGGCCCAGACGGCAACGGGAGGCAGCAGUGGGGAAUAUUGCACAACGGGCGGGAGCCUGAGGCAGCAACGCCGCGUGCGGGAUGACGUCCUUCGGGUGGUAAACCGCUUUCGCCUGUGACGAAGCGUGAGUGACGGCAAUGGGUAAAGAAGCACCGGCUAACUACGUG